UGAAGAAGGAUGAGGAUCCGGUGCAGAUC
rnacentral:piRNA from 1 species